rnacentral:rRNA from 1 species
CAGCAGCCACGGUAAUACCGAGGGUGCGAGCGUUAAUCGGAUUUACUGGGCGUAAAGCGUGCGUAGGCGGCUUUUUAAGUCGGAUGUGAAAUCCCUGAGCUUAACUUAGGAAUUGCAUUCGAUACUGGGAAGCUAGAGUAUGGGAGAGGAUGGUAGAAUUCCAGGUGUAGCGGUGAAAUGCGUAGAGAUCUGGAGGAAUACCGAUGGCGAAGGCAGCCAUCUGGCCUAAUACUGACGCUGAGGUACGAAAGCAUGGGGAGCAAACAGGAUUAGAUACCCCGGUAGUCCCUGUCUCUUAUAC